GAUUAGAUACCCUACUAUGCCAAGCCGUAAACAUCGACAUACCUUUGUCCGCCAGAAAAUUACAAGCCAAGCUUAAAACUCAAAGGACUUGGCGGCGCUCCACACACCCUAGAGGGGCCUGUCACAUAAUCGAUAACCCACGAUAAACCUCACCACUUUUAGCCCUCCAGCCUAUAUACCGCCGUCGCAAGUCCAUCCCGACAGGGAUAUGAAAUGGGCCAAAUAGUCUUUACACUAACACGACAGGUCAAGGUGUAGCUCAUAAAGUGGCAAAUGAUGGACCACAUUGCCCCCAAGCAAUACUUAAACUGCACUGAAACACGCACUUUAAAGGUGAAUUUAACAGUAAGGUAGGCAAGAAAGCCUGCCUAAAGCAUGCUCUGGAGCGUGCACACACCGCCCGUCACCCU
rnacentral:rRNA from 1 species